GUCCCUGUAGCACAAUGGAUAGCGCAUUGGACCUCUAAUCCAAAAGUCGUGGGUUCGGAUCCCACCUAGUCAGCGACA
rnacentral:tRNA from 1 species